CUUGGCAAAAGCCUUUGCAAAAGCCCUGGCAAAAUCCAUGGCAAAAUCCCUGCCACAAGCCUUGGCAAAAUCCCUGGCAAAAUCCCUGCAAAAUCCCUG